GAUGCCCUGGCAGUCAGAGGCGAUGAAGGGCGUACUAAUCUGCGAUAAGCGCCGGUAAGGUGAUAUGAACCGUUAUAACCGGCGAUACCCGAAUGGGGAAACCCAGUGUGAUUCGUCACACUAUCAUUAACUGAAUCCAUAGGUUAAUGAGGCGAACCGGGGGAACUGAAACAUCUAAGUACCCCGAGGAAAAGAAAUCAACCGAGAUUCCCCCAGUAGCGGCGAGCGAACGGGGAGGAGCCCAGAGCCUGAAUCAGCAUGUGUGUUAGUGGAAGCGUCUGGAAAGGCGCGCGAUACAGGGUGACAGCCCCGUACACAAAAGCGCAUGUGCUGUGAGCUCGAUGAGUAGGGCGGGACACGUGGUAUCCUGUCUGAAUAUGGGGGGACCAUCCUCCAAGGCUAAAUACUCCUGACUGACCGAUAGUGAACCAGUACCGUGAGGGAAAGGCGAAAAGAACCCCGGCGAGGGGAGUGAAAAAGAACCUGAAACCGUGUACGUACAAGCAGUGGGAGCACCCUUUGGGUGUGACUGCGUACCUUUUGUAUAAUGGGUCAGCGACUUAUAUUCUGUAGCAAGGUUAACCGAAUAGGGGAGCCGGAGGGAAACCGAGUCUUAACCGGGCGUUAAGUUGCAGGGUAUAGACCCGAAACCCGGUGAUCUAGCCAUGGGCAGGUUGAAGGUUGGGUAACACUAACUGGAGGACCGAACCGACUAAUGUUGAAAAAUUAGCGGAUGACCUGUGGCUGGGGGUGAAAGGCCAAUCAAACCGGGAGAUAGCUGGUUCUCCCCGAAAGCUAUUUAGGUAGCGCCUCGUGAAUUCAUCUCCGGGGGUAGAGCACUGUUUCGGCUAGGGGGCCAUCCCGGCUUACCAACCCGAUGCAAACUGCGAAUACCGGAGAAUGUUAUCACGGGAGACACACGGCGGGUGCUAACGUCCGUCGUGAAGAGGGAAACAACCCAGACCGCCAGCUAAGGUCCCAAAGUCAUGGUUAAGUGGGAAACGAUGUGGGAAGGCCCAGACAGCCAGGAUGUUGGCUUAGAAGCAGCCAUCAUUUAAAGAAAGCGUAAUAGCUCACUGGUCGAGUCGGCCUGCGCGGAAGAUGUAACGGGGCUAAACCAUGCACCGAAGCUGCGGCAGCGACACUGUGUGUUGUUGGGUAGGGGAGCGUUCUGUAAGCCUGUGAAGGUGUGUCGUGAGGCAUGCUGGAGGUAUCAGAAGUGCGAAUGCUGACAUAAGUAACGAUAAAGCGGGUGAAAAGCCCGCUCGCCGGAAGACCAAGGGUUCCUGUCCAACGUUAAUCGGGGCAGGGUGAGUCGACCCCUAAGGCGAGGCCGAAAGGCGUAGUCGAUGGGAAACGGGUUAAUAUUCCCGUACUUGGUGUUACUGCGAAGGGGGGACGGAGAAGGCUAUGUUGGCCGGGCGACGGUUGUCCCGGUUUAAGCGUGUAGGUGUGUGUUCCAGGUAAAUCCGGUUCACUUUAACACUGAGGCGUGACGACGAGGCACUACGGUGCUGAAGCAACAAAUGCCCUGCUUCCAGGAAAAGCCUCUAAGCAUCAGGUAACAUCAAAUCGUACCCCAAACCGACACAGGUGGUCAGGUAGAGAAUACCAAGGCGCUUGAGAGAACUCGGGUGAAGGAACUAGGCAAAAUGGUGCCGUAACUUCGGGAGAAGGCACGCUGACACGUAGGUGAAGUGAUUUACUCAUGGAGCUGAAGUCAGUCGAAGAUACCAGCUGGCUGCAACUGUUUAUUAAAAACACAGCACUGUGCAAACACGAAAGUGGACGUAUACGGUGUGACGCCUGCCCGGUGCCGGAAGGUUAAUUGAUGGGGUCAGCGCAAGCGAAGCUCCUGAUCGAAGCCCCGGUAAACGGCGGCCGUAACUAUAACGGUCCUAAGGUAGCGAAAUUCCUUGUCGGGUAAGUUCCGACCUGCACGAAUGGCGUAAUGAUGGCCAGGCUGUCUCCACCCGAGACUCAGUGAAAUUGAACUCGCUGUGAAGAUGCAGUGUACCCGCGGCAAGACGGAAAGACCCCGUGAACCUUUACUAUAGCUUGACACUGAACAUUGAGCCUUGAUGUGUAGGAUAGGUGGGAGGCUUUGAAGUGUGGACGCCAGUCUGCAUGGAGCCGACCUUGAAAUACCACCCUUUAAUGUUUGAUGUUCUAACGUGGACCCGUUACCCGGGUUGCGGACAGUGUCUGGUGGGUAGUUUGACUGGGGCGGUCUCCUCCUAAAGAGUAACGGAGGAGCACGAAGGUUGGCUAAUCCUGGUCGGACAUCAGGAGGUUAGUGCAAUGGCAUAAGCCAGCUUGACUGCGAGCGUGACGGCGCGAGCAGGUGCGAAAGCAGGUCAUAGUGAUCCGGUGGUUCUGAAUGGAAGGGCCAUCGCUCAACGGAUAAAAGGUACUCCGGGGAUAACAGGCUGAUACCGCCCAAGAGUUCAUAUCGACGGCGGUGUUUGGCACCUCGAUGUCGGCUCAUCACAUCCUGGGGCUGAAGUAGGUCCCAAGGGUAUGGCUGUUCGCCAUUUAAAGUGGUACGCGAGCUGGGUUUAGAACGUCGUGAGACAGUUCGGUCCCUAUCUGCCGUGGGCGCUGGAGAACUGAGGGGGGCUGCUCCUAGUACGAGAGGACCGGAGUGGACGCAUCACUGGUGUUCGGGUUGUCAUGCCAAUGGCACUGCCCGGUAGCUAAAUGCGGAAGAGAUAAGUGCUGAAAGCAUCUAAGCACGAAACUUGCCCCGA
rnacentral:rRNA from 1 species